AUUGAACGCUGGCGGCAGGCCUAACACAUGCAAGUCGAGCGGAUGAAGGGAGCUUGCUCCUGGAUUCAGCGGCGGACGGGUGAGUAAUGCCUAGGAAUCUGCCUGGUAGUGGGGGAUAACGUCCGGAAACGGGCGCUAAUACCGCAUACGUCCUGAGUGAGAAAGUGGGGGAUCUUCGGACCUCACGCUAUCAGAUGAGCCUAGGUCGUAUUAGCUAGUUGGUGGGGUAAAGGCCUACCAAGGCGACGAUCCGUAACUGGUCUGAGAGGAUGAUCAGUCACACUGGAACUGAGACACGGUCCAGACUCCUACGGGAGGCAGCAGUGGGGAAUAUUGGACAAUGGGCGAAAGCCUGAUCCAGCCAUGCCGCGUGUGUGAAGAAGGUCUUCGGAUUGUAAAGCACUUUAAGUUGGGAGGAAGGGCAGUAAGUUAAUACCUUGCUGUUUUGACGUUACCAACAGAAUAAGCACCGGCUAACUUCGUG
rnacentral:rRNA from 1 species